rnacentral:rRNA from 1 species
CAAUAGCGUAUAUUAACGUUGUUGCAGUUAAAAAGCUCGUAGUUGGAUUUCUGGAGGGAGCGUCGGCCCGUAUUUACGAGUGCGUGACGUCUCUGUCCAUCCUUGCGGGAAGGCACGGCAUUGAUUUGUUGUGUCGGAUCGCAUCAUUUACUGUGAAAAAAUUAGAGUGUUCAAAGCAGGCUUUCGCUUGAAUACAUUAGCGUGGAAUAAUAAGAUAGGACUUUGGUGCUAUUUUGUUGGUUGAGCCUAAAGUAAUGAUUAAUAGGGAUAGUUGGGGGCACCUGUAUUGCGUUGUCAGAGGUGAAAUUCUUGGAUUUACGCAAGACAAACAGCUGCGAAAGCGUCUGCCAAGGAUGUUUUCAUUAA